CUGCAAUCACCAACCUCCUGAACUCCAAACUGCACGUAUUCACCAACUCUCGAACAGCAGACACAGGAACCCUGGAAGCAGCCGAACAGGAAAAGCAAUACAAACGGCUUACACUCCUGGCAGUCAGCACACAAUCCAAUUCCCCCAAUAACGAGACGACACUUCGUUUUGAGGGUUAAGCAGAAUCUCUAGAUUUAUUCACACAGC